UUUUAUUACGCAUAUACGAUCGAAUGAAUGUAAAUAGAAAUGGGCGAGGAGAUGAAAGAGAAGUCUGUUUGGCACGGUGGAGUGAGGUUAAAGCUGGACAAAGGCACUGUCGGGGCGUAAAGCUCGCAGACAAAGAGUCAGCAAAGCGAUUCGCGACCAAAACGGAACAAAACUUCGAAACAAGAAGGAGCCGCUGAUCUGCGCUUUUGGAUCGAAGCGCUGCAACAGUUAUCAAGGAAACGAGUCUCCCGUGUGGUGCACGUGCGCGGUCACUUAGUGAAAGUUUGAUGAAGUCGUUAUGGAAAAAUUUCGAGGCGAUUUCAGCCCGGUGCUGUUUACAAUUCAAAACCCCAAGCUCUACACCAAUCUCCGUUACUUUAUUCAAAUCACCCCUGCCCCCCAUCACGAACGCCUGACAGUUAAAGGCAAUGGGAGUAAUUGGCAGAUUUUUUUUUUCUUCCAUACUUGAAGCUUGAUUAAGGAACGGUGAAAGAACGCCUCGUAUAGGUGCGGGCGAUUUAGGCCUAAAGGCGAUAUUUAAAGCAUUCAGGGGUGCGAACAUUUUAGAGAAUAUGUUAAGAGAUGAAACCUCAUCUGAUAAAUAUUCAUACAGAGAAAUGCUACUUUAUGAUUUGUCUUAAAUGUGGAAUAUGCUGGGCAAAACGAAAGGCAGACACAUCCCACUCGAACACACAGAACACCCUGUUACGCACAGACAGCCCGACCACACAGCCCGCGAGACUUCCAGUUUAAUUUUUCCAAACUUAAAAUGAUCUUUGAAAAUGAUCAUCUGCGUGUCCUGAUGUGCUCGGCAGACGACAGUCGGGAGAACUAAAGCACACAGUAAAGCCAUAAACGUCAGUGAAGCUUGGAGAAGUCUUUGAGUGGAGAACGCUACACAAACAGGGAAAAAUGCAAGAAAAUGAUUUCCUGAAGAAAAUCCGAGGUGAAACUCACCGGACAUGAUGGCUGGGAUGCAGAGAUGAUUCCUGGAGAAGAGCUGAGGGACUCAACAAUGUCCUUUUCUGCCUCAGCAAAAUGGCCAAGAACGAAAUUUGUGCAAAAGUCUCCAAAAAUAGCAACACAAAUGUCUUACAGCAGAGCCAGAGCAUACAGAAUGAUUGUAAUAGAGCUGGGGACAUAUUAGUUUGAGAUUUUCUCCCUCCAUUCCCUCUAUUUAAAACCCCUAGAACUCAAUGAUUUGACAAUGAUUUGAUUGCGCGUUACUUACCAUUUGAAUAUUCAGAGGCAACUCUCUCAAAUCGAUUUUCAGUAAAAUCACUAAGCAUGAACACUCUAUUAAAUCCACUUUAAUCUCAUAUAUUAGUAUUUUACACUUUAACCUCGAAAAAAAUGCACUUUUAUUCAUUUUACCCUCCUUUUGCACUAUCCCAGCAUCAGCCCCCUUCACUUAGCACUGCAGCACCCACGACCGCUUCAGUGCAACUUUAAGAGCGCAUUUCACCUCAAACCUCACGUUUACCUCAGUCACACAUUUUUUAAAGUUUAUUUCACAAAAAAACCCUUAAAAGUGGCAAAGAGGGAAAGUGGGUGUGGCAAGGGCCAACAGCCCUCGUUGGCAUGGCAGGGCCUCCAGCUCCAUCAGAGUGCUCACACCUGUUGGGAGAACAGGGAGAGCGACUCAGCAGCUUCACGCACAGUUCUGUCGUUAAGUCUUCGUUAUAUUUUCAUAAAAAUAAAAAUGAGUGUCAGGAUCAAAGGUUUCCGGUAAGGGCGCCCGGCACAAAGCGUGCCGUUUAAGAAAUGUUUUGAAAUGUUUAAAGGAACUCCCCCUGCAUUAUGAUUUACCACAACUGAAUCAAAAACAGUUAUUAUUUUAAAUAAUCUAUCAAAUCUGUGUUAAAAUCGAGUAAAUAAAUAAAUAAAUAACGAAACUAAAAACAAA